CCUACGGGUGGCAGCAGUGGGGAAUAUUGCACAAUGGGGGAAACCCUGAUGCAGCGACGCCGCGUGAGUGAAGAAGUCUUUCGGUAUGUAAAGCUCUAUCAGCAGGGAAGAAAAUGACGGUACCUGACUAAGAAGCCCCGGCUAACUACGUGCCAGCAGCCGCGGUAAUACGUAGGGGGCAAGCGUUAUCCGGCUUUACUGGGUGUAAAGGGAGCGUAGACGGCAGCGCAAGUGUGUAGUGAAAUGCCAUGGCUUAACAAUGGAACUGCGUUGGAAACUGUGCAGCUGGAGUGCAGGUGAGGUAAGCGGAAUGCCUGGGGUAGCGGUGAAAUGCGUAGAUAUUAGGAGGAACACCAGUUGCGAAGGCGGCUUACCGGACUGUAACUGACGUUGAGGCUCGAAAGCGUGGGGAGCAAACAGGAUUAGAUACCCGAGUAGUC
rnacentral:rRNA from 1 species